CGGCGAACGUGGGUGAGGAUUUUGGAGCUCCUGGCAGGGAGCUGCAGGUCUCCAGCUGCUGCUGGAGGGGGGGAAUUUUAGAAGAGACUUCUUCAGCUGCCUGCAAGUGAUGUCGGUGAGGUCUCUUUGCAACGGUUCAACAGAGGAGCUCGUGCACAAAUGUGCAAAUGGAACUAUGGGAUCAAGCUUUGCUACACAUGAAAGAAACCCAUGUGGACCCGGCUCCUUCACUGACUGUGAGCUCCUUGGGAGAAGGAACAGGACGUUAUUCCUCUCGGGUUCCCAGGCCAGGGUCCAGAUGGGGGAAAGUGCUGAUAAAUACUAAUGUGGAAAAAAAAAAAGAAGAAGAACAGAGAAAUUGGCUCUUUGGGAGCUGAAGAUUCUGUAUCUUCUUCAAUGCUACCUUUUCAUUCUAAAUUUUUUUAACCCUAAAUGAAUACUAAUGUCUUAGGGGCCUUAGUAAGAUCCAAUGACCCUGGGUGCAGGAGCCCUGCCAUUGCUUGCCUGAAAUCUGCCUUAACUACUUACUUAAGCUGUGUACUUUGAAAAUAAAAAACAAAGCAAGUUUAAUGUUUUUACAGAGACUUUUGUCCAAAAGAUCUUUUAA
rnacentral:lncRNA from 1 species